rnacentral:misc_RNA from 1 species
AUAUUACUUUAUCACUCGUUUCAUUUCCGUUGAUUAAAACUUCUACAACUCUCUAUUCGUGGUGCUUCUUACCUUCCUCCGGUGACUUUCCGACACUUAGCAAAUGGGUAGCUCCUGAUACUUUCCCCUUCUUACUUCCUAUCUUUAUUCCUUUCCUUCCUAAACAUGAGUAAGAGAGACAGCUAAGAUACCCAAGAAACCGCCAACAUAGAUUAUAGCUUCGACGAUUCUCUGAUGGCAAAAACGGCUGACAGCCCUGUAUUGUCAUUGUCAGGUAAAGAAGUAGAUGAUGCUACUGGUGGCAACAAUGUGGCGGGUACUAGUCGUGAGAUUGGCACUGCCUCAACCCACGCGACGCUUCCACAAAAUAAAAAAUCUAAGAAAACUAUAGCCGAACUCCUUGGUACAGACGAGAUCGCCUCAGAAGUGAAUCCUAUCGAACUUCUUUCCCUCAUAUCAAAAUAUCAUAUUCCAAGAGACCUAUUCGAGGUAGAAGCUCGUGG